rnacentral:rRNA from 1 species
AAAGCCAGGGGAGCGAAAGGGAUUAGAUACCCCCGUAGUCCUGGCCGUAAACGAUGAACACUAGGUGUCGGGGGAAUCGACCCCCUCGGUGUCGUAGCCAACGCGUUAAGUGUUCCGCCUGGGGAGUACGCACGCAAGUGUGAAACUCAAAGGAAUUGACGGGGGCCCGCACAAGCGGUGGAGUAUGUGGUUUAAUUCGAUGCAACGCGAAGAACCUUACCAGGGUUUGACAUCCUGCGAACCCCUGAGAAAUCGGGGGGUGCCUUCGGGAGCGCAGAGACAGGUGGUGCAUGGCUGUCGUCAGCUCGUGUCGUGAGAUGUUGGGUUAAGUCCCGCAACGAGCGCAACCCACAUCGUUAGUUGCCAGCAUUCAGUUGGGCACUCUAGCGAGACCGCCGGUGAUAAACCGGAGGAAGGUGUGGAUGACGUCAAGUCAUCAUGCCCCUUACAUCCUGGGCUACACACGUACUACAAUGCUACGGACAAAGGGCAGCAAGCUCGCGAGGGUUAGCAAAUCCCAUAAACCGUGGCUCAGUUCAGAUCGUAGGCUGCAACUCGCCUACGUGAAGGAGGAAUCGCUAGUAAUCGCAGGUCAGCAUACUGCGGUGAAUACGUUCCCGGGCCUUGUACACACCGCCCGUCACACCAUGGAAGUUGGCCACGCCCGAAGUCGUUACUCCAAC